rnacentral:rRNA from 1 species
GACGAACGCUGGCGGCGUGCUUAACACAUGCAAGUCGAACGGCAAGGCCCUGCUUUUGUGGGGUGCUCGAGUGGCGAACGGGUGAGUAACACGUGAGUAACCUGCCCUUGACUUUGGGAUAACUUCAGGAAACUGGGGCUAAUACCGGAUAGGAGCUCCUGCUGCAUGGUGGGGGUUGGAAAGUUUCGGCGGGUGGGGAUGGACUCGCGGCUUAUCAGCUUGUUGGUGGGGUAGUGGCUUACCAAGGCUUUGACGGGUAGCCGGCCUGAGAGGGUGACCGGCCACAUUGGGACUGAGAUACGGCCCAGACUCCUACGGGAGGCAGCAGUGGGGAAUAUUGCACAAUGGGCGGAAGCCUGAUGCAGCAACGCCGCGUGCGGGAUGACGGCCUUCGGGUUGUAAACCGCUUUCGCCUGUGACGAAGCGUGAGUGACGGUAAUGGGUAAAGAAGCACCGGCUAACUACGUG